GGGGAAGUAGCUCAGUUGGUAGAGUGCUUGCCUCACAUGCAUAAGGCCCUGGGUUCAAUCCCCAGCACCA
rnacentral:tRNA from 1 species